rnacentral:rRNA from 1 species
GCUGAACGCUGGCGGCGUGCCUAAUACAUGCAAGUCGAGCGAAGCGGGGACGGGGGAGUAACACGUGGAUAACCUCCUAUAAGACUGGGAUAACCUCGGGAAACCGGAGCUAAACCGGAUACUUAUAACUGGCUCCGCGCUGCAUUAGCUGGUUGGUAGGGUAACGGCGUACAAAGGCACCGAUGCCUAGCGGACCUGAGAGGAUGAUCGGCCACACUGGAACGGAGACACGGUCCGGACUCCUACGGGAGGCAGCAGUAGGGAAUAUUGCGCAAUGGGCGAAAGCCUGACGGAGCAAUGCCGCGUGAGUGAAGAAGGUCUUCGGAUCGUAAAGCUCUGUUAUCAGGGAAGCGGUACCUAAUCAGAAAGCCACGGCUAACUACGUGCCAGCCGCCGCGGUAAUUC